GCCAGACUCCUACGGGAGGCAGCAGUGAGGAAUAUUGGUCAAUGGGCGGGAGCCUGAACCAGCCAAGUCGCGUGAGGGAAGACGGUCCUACGGAUUGUAAACCUCUUUUGUCAGGGAGCAAAGGGCGCCACGUGUGGCGCUUUGCGAGUACCUGAAGAAAAAGCAUCGGCUAACUCCGUGCCAGCAGCCGCGGUAAUACGGAGGAUGCGAGCGUUAUCCGGAUUUAUUGGGUUUAAAGGGUGCGUAGGCGGUUUGAUAAGUUAGAGGUGAAAUGUCGGGGCUCAACCCCGAAACUGCCUCUAAUACUGUUGGACUAGAGAAUAGUUGCGGUAGGCGGAAUGUAUGGUGUAGCGGUGAAAUGCUUAGAGAUCAUACAGAGCACCGAUUGCGAAGGCAGCUUACCAAACUAUAUCUGACGUUGAGGCACGAAAGCGUGGGUAGCAAACAGGAUUAGAUACCCUUGUAA
rnacentral:rRNA from 1 species